GUAUUUUAAGUUUAGCUGAACACGUUACUUUCCUCACUGGGGUCCUGGUUAGUAAUGGCCACAAACAAGUCUCUGGGCGUAGUGUAUGUAGUCAGAUGCUUGUACUGGUGGCCAUGAGGCAGAUCCAUGGAGACAGUC
ensembl:snoRNA Gm25979 predicted gene, 25979